GACGAACGCUGGCGGCGUGCCUAAUACAUGCAAGUCGAGCGGAUGAAGAGGAGCUUGCUCCUUGGAUUCAGCGGCGGACGGGUGAGUAACACGUGGGCAACCUGCCUGUAAGACUGGGAUAACUCCGGGAAACCGGGGCUAAUACCGGAUAAUUUCUUUUCUCGCAUGAGGAAAGGUUGAAAGACGGUUAUGCUGUCACUUACAGAUGGGCCCGCGGCGCAUUAGCUAGUUGGUGGGUAAAGGCCUACCAAGGCAACGAUGCGUAGCCGACCUGAGAGGGUGAUCGGCCACACUGGGACUGAGACACGGCCCAGACUCCUACGGGAGGCAG
rnacentral:rRNA from 1 species